AAUUGCUUGAUUCGCACUGAGCCGAAUUCAAAGAAUACAUCAAGAUUUCAACAAAAGAAGUAAUAUUAAUUCGAUAAUUCCCAUUUCGAUAUAUCUUAACUUUCACUACACAUACAAUUGUAUGUAUGUGUUAUCAUCGAUUGUAUAUUCUGGAACAUAUAUCGAAACUGGAUUAAGAACAUCACUCGGUUUGGAGCUCACUAUCAAAACCUACCAUGAGCUUGCUCAGUUUCUUGCGGCUUACCCUCUGCUCGUAGACCUUGUUUUUCUCCAACCUGCACGUACCCAAAAACGUUCAAUAAAACGUAUCAAAAAUGUCAUAGGAG
rnacentral:lncRNA from 1 species